rnacentral:rRNA from 1 species
CCUACGGGCGGCUGCAGUGGGGAAUAUUGGACAAUGGGCGAAAGCCUGAUCCAGCCAUGCCGCGUGUGUGAAGAAGGCCUUCGGGUUGUAAAGCACUUUCAGUGGGGAAGAAAGCCUUGGGGCUAAUACCCUCGAGGAAGGACAUCACCCACAGAAGAAGCACCGGCUAACUCCGUGCCAGCAGCCGCGGUAAUACGGAGGGUGCGAGCGUUAAUCGGAAUUACUGAGCGUAAAGCGCGCGUAGGCGGUCUGAUAAGCCGGUUGUGAAAGCCCCGGGCUCAACCUGGGAACGGCAUCCGGACCUGUCAGGCUAGAGGGCAGGAGAGGAAGGUAGAAUUCCCGGUGUAGCGGUGAAAUGCGUAGAGAUCGGGAGGAAUACCAGUGGCGAAGGCGGCCUUCUGGACUGACACUGACGCUGAGGUGCGAAAGCGUGGGUAGCAAACAGGAUUAGAUACCCUUGUAGUC